rnacentral:rRNA from 1 species
AUUGAACGCUGGCGGCAUGCCUUACACAUGCAAGUCGAACGGUAACAGGUCUUCGGAUGCUGACGAGUGGCGAACGGGUGAGUAAUACAUCGGAACGUGCCCAGACGUGGGGGAUAACGAGGCGAAAGCUUUGCUAAUACCGCAUACGAUCUAAGGAUGAAAGCAGGGGACCGCAAGGCCUUGUGCGUUUGGAGCGGCCGAUGGCAGAUUAGGUAGUUGGUGGGAUAAAAGCUUACCAAGCCGACGAUCUGUAGCUGGUCUGAGAGGACGACCAGCCACACUGGGACUGAGACACGGCCCAGACUCCUACGGGAGGCAGCAGUGGGGAAUUUUGGACAAUGGGCGAAAGCCUGAUCCAGCAAUGCCGCGUGUAGGAUGAAGGCCUUCGGGUUGUAAACUGCUUUUGUACGGAACGAAAAGGCUCUGGCUAAUACCUGGGGCACAUGACGGUACCGUAAGAAUAAGCACCGGCUAACUACGUG